rnacentral:misc_RNA from 1 species
AAUUCUCAACUACAAGAGUUUUCUUUUGUAGCUUUGGAUGUUGGAGGUUUUGCAGGCUCAGGUCAGCUCCUCUUAAAUGCAUUAGCAGAACUUUAGAAAAGGAUCGGCUUUGGUUUGAUAAUAUCUAUGCCAUCGCUGGAACGAGUUAUUAGUUCAGCUUAUAAUCGUCUUAGGACUGUCGAAAGGCAUCAUUUUA